rnacentral:rRNA from 1 species
UCAAAUCAUCAUGCCCCUUAUGCCCUGGGCUACACACGUGCUACAAUGGCCGGGUACAGAGGGAAGCGAAGCGGUAACGCGGAGCAAAUCCCAAAAAACCGGUCUCAGUUCGGAUUGUGGGCUGCAACUCGCCCACAUGAAGUCGGAAUCGCUAGUAAUCGCGGAUCAGCAAAGCCGCGGUGAAUACGUUCUCGGGGAUU